rnacentral:tRNA from 1 species
GAAGUUUAGGAUAAAACAGUCCAAGAGCCUUCAAAGCCCCAAGUAGACUAAAUAGUCUAACUUCUG